rnacentral:tRNA from 1 species
GGUAGGAUGGCUGAAGCUAAGCGAUGGGUUGUAACUCCAGAUAUAGAGGUUAGAGUCCUCUUCUUAUCA